ensembl:lncRNA
ACACACUAAUGCAGACCAAUACACUCUAAUACACACUAACACACACUAACACACACUAAUGCAGACCAAUACACUCUAAUACACACUAACACACACUAAUGCAGACCAAUACACUCUAAUACACACUAGCACACACUAAUGCAGAUCAAUACACUCUAAUACACACUAACACACUUUUACAUACUAAAACACACUAACACACACUAAUGCAGACCAAUACACUCUAAUACACACUAACGCAGACCAAUACACUCUAAUACACACUAACACACACUAAUGCAGACCAAUACACUCUAAUACACACUAACACACACUAAUGCAGACCAAUACACUCUAAUACACACUAACACACUUUUACAUACUAAAACACACUAAUGCACUCUAAUACACACUAACAUACACUUUUACAUACUAACACACACCAAUACACUCUAAUACACGUUUACAUACUAACACACGCUAACACACGUAAAACAGAACUGAAUUCAUAUUAAAUACAGGAAUGGCUGAUGAAUGAUGGUAAUGAAAAACUGAAAAAAUCUCUCCCUCUGUGUGUGUGUGUGUUUAUUUCAGUAAUAUUGUGAUUAAUGUGUACAAAGUGACUCGUUAAGAGUCAACUGUGUAAUGAGCAAUAAACACAGCCGGAGUAUGUAAUUAGGUCAUUGCUUCGAGGUACACACACACACACACAGACUACCACACACUAAUGCAAUAACACACUGACACACACUAAAUAUCCAUCACUUUGGUAACGUGUACGUUUGCGCUCAGCAGCUACGUGAGCCUUCUUGCGUGUGCGUGUGCACAGUUAAAACCCGCAGCUUGUUUCUUUAGCUUCCACAAGGUACGCUGCACUGACACUGGAGACUCCUUCCACCAGCUCUGUUUAUCAUCGACUUGCGCUUUGAAACUUUAGGUUUAUAUUUAACGAUGUAUUUAAGGAAGCUGUUUUUCUCCGGUAAUUACCAGGAUGUGAGACAAGUGGGUUUUUUUUAGCAUGUGGAUGUGGUGGAGUUUACAGUUAACGCUAAAUCAAAUGCAGUCCACAUACACACGCACACACACCCCUCCUGCGCUCCGCUCUGAUGCCAUGCCAUCACGCGGCUUUGAGAAUCGGCCGACGGGAAGUUCGGGAAUGCGGGGUGUCAUCGUCCCACAUGUGCACAACAGACACAGGUGUUGAACACGAUUCGGCUGCUUUUUCUUAAUCACGUGAUAAAAAUCAUCAAUAUUCACUGACAGAAAAAAUAAAUGAGUAAAAAAAAACAUUUUUCUGAGGUGAAAUAGUAAAAAAAAUUCUGAGAUCAAAUAUAAAAAAAAAAACAUUUUUCUGAGGUAAAAUAGCUUAAAAAAACAUUUUCUGAGGUAAAAAUAGUAAAAAAAAAA